GGUGAGUAACGCGUAUCCAACUGCCCUUCACCACGGGAUAACCCGGCGAAAGUCGGACUAAUACCGUAUGUUGUCCAUUGACGGCAUCCGAUUUGGACGAAAGGCUUGGCGGUGAGGGAUGGGGAUGCGUCCGAUUAGCCAGACGGCGGGGUAACGGCCCACCGUGGCGACGAUCGGUAGGGGUUCUGAGAGGAAGGUCCCCCACACUGGAACUGAGACACGGUCCAGACUCCUACGGGAGGCAGCAGUGAGGAAUAUUGGUCAAUGGGCGUAAGCCUGAACCAGCCAAGUAGCGUGCAGGACGACGGCCCUAUGGGUUGUAAACUGCUUUUAUGCGGGGAUAAAGUGGCCCACGUGUGGGUUUUUGCAGGUACCGCAUGAAUAAGGACCGGCUAAUUCCGUGCCAGCAGCCGCGGUAAUACGGAAGGUCCGGGCGUUAUCCGGAUUUAUUGGGUUUAAAGGGAGCGUAGGCCGCGCCUUAAGCGUGUUGUGAAAUCCGGGUGCUCAACAUCCGGCUUGCAGCGCGAACUGGGGCGCUUGAGUGCGCAGAAAGUAGGCGGAAUUCGUGGUGUAGCGGUGAAAUGCUUAGAUAUCACGAGGAACUCCGAUUGCGAAGGCAGCCUACUGUAGCGCUACUGACGCUGAUGCUCGAAAGCGUGGGUAUCGAACAGGAUUAGAUACCCUGGUAGUCCACGCGGUAAACGAUGGAUGCUCGUUGUCGGCCCUUUGGGUCGGUGACCAAGCGAAAGCGUUAAGCAUCCCACCUGGGGAGUACGCCGGCAACGGUGAAACUCAAAGGAAUUGACGGC
rnacentral:rRNA from 1 species